GUAUCAUCACCGUGUAUGAUUAUAAAUAGACAUGCGAAGCGGUUGAAGUUCAGCACAGUCUAAAACCAUCUCUACUUCUCUUUAUCCAACUACUGCUCCAAAAUAUGAAGACCUUUCUUAUUAUUUGUGUUUUCUGCUUCUUAUUCUCUGCUCUGCCUUUCUCUAUAGCUCGACAAGUUCAUCGAGUUGAACACAAUGGUUAUUAUGUACCAUUUCCACCAGUAAACAAAGUGCCAAGAACAGGUAGCGUAACUACGAGCUGUGUGGGCGGCAAAUAUGCAGCAUGCACCAUACCUAUACCACCACCUGGAAAAGGAUUUCCUAAUAGACGAGGACCCAUAUGCCCUUGCCGCCAUUGAUCUCAAUUAUCACCUUUUUUUAGAAAAGGAAAAUAUUCAUCUUUUCUUUGAUCUUAAUUCUAGUGUGUUGUGAACGAGUUAGAUAUACGUUGAAUGAUGUUGUUUUAGUAGAUAGCAGCAGCUUUCCUUUCCUAGCGGGUGGGAUUAAGGUUUACAUAUCUUUUAUUUCAAUUCUAUUGUUUUAAGUGUGAUUAUUCAUAAUUAUUGAUUUUGUUUGUUUGCUUCAAUUAUUUUUAUUAUAAUAAAAGAUUUUGAUUGAGUUUA